GAUCCUGGCUCAGGAUGAACGCUAGCGACAGGCUUAACACAUGCAAGUCGAGGGGCAGCACAGGUAGCAAUACCGGGUGGCGACCGGCGCACGGGUGAGUAACGCGUAUGCAACUUACCUAUCAGGAGGGGGAUAACCCGGCGAAAGUCGGACUAAUACCGCAUGAAGCAGGGGCCCCGCAUGGGGAUAUUUGGACUAAAGAUUCAUCGCUGAUAGAUAGGCAUGCGUUCCAUUAGG
rnacentral:rRNA from 1 species